rnacentral:rRNA from 1 species
AGGUUAAGUUAAUAAGGGCGCACGGUGGAUGCCUUGGCACUAGAAGCCGAAGAAGGACGUGACUAACGACGAAAUGCUUUGGGGAGCUGUAAGUAAGCGCUGAUCCAGAGAUGUCCGAAUGGGGGAACCCGGCAUGUAAUGCAUGUCAUCCAUGACUGUUAAGGUUAUGAGAAGGAAGACGCAGUGAACUGAAACAUCUAAGUAGCUGCAGGAAGAGAAAGCAAACGCGAUUGCCUUAGUAGCGGCGAGCGAAACGGCAGGAGGGCAAACCGAGGAGUUUACUCCUCGGGGUUGUAGGACUGCGAAGUGGGACAUAAAGUUUAUAGAAGAAUUACCUGGGAAGGUAAGCCAAAGAGAGUAACAGCCUCGUAUUUAAAAUUGACUUUAGCCCUAGCAGUAUCCUGAGUACGGCGAGACACGCGAAAUCUCGUCGGAAUCUGG